GCACAAGCGGUGGAGCAUGUGGUUUAAUUCGAAGCAACGCGAAGAACCUUACCAGGUCUUGACAUCUUCGGACCACCCUAGAGAUAGGGUCUUCCCUUCGGGGACCGAAUGACAGGUGGUGCAUGGUUGUCGUCAGCUCGUGUCGUGAGAUGUUGGGUUAAGUCCCGCAACGAGCGCAACCCUUGUCCUUAGUUGCCAGCAUUAAGUUGGGCACUCUAAGGAGACUGCCGGUGACAAACCGGAGGAAGGUGGGGAUGACGUCAAAUCAUCAUGCCCCUUAUGACCUGGGCUACACACGUGCUACAAUGGAUGGUACAAAGGGCAGCAAAACCGCGAGGUCGAGCAAAUCCCAUAAAGCCAUUCUCAGUUCGGAUUGUAGGCUGCAACUCGCCUACAUGAAGCCGGAAUCGCUAGUAAUCGCGGAUCAGCAUGCCGCGGUGAAUUCACAUUUGCUC
rnacentral:rRNA from 1 species